GACGAACGCUGGCGGCGUGCUUAACACAUGCAAGUCGAACGGAAAGGCCCUGCUUUUGUGGGGUGCUCGAGUGGCGAACGGGUGAGUAACACGUGAGUAACCUGCCCUUGACUUUGGGAUAACUUCAGGAAACUGGGGCUAAUACCGGAUAGGAGCUCCUGCUGCAUGGUGGGGGUUGGAAAGUUUCGGCGGUUGGGGAUGGACUGGCGGCUUAUCAGCUUGUUGGUGGGGUAGUGGCUUACCAAGGCUUUGGCGGGUAGCCGGCCUGCGAGGGUGACCAGCCACAUUGGGACUGAGGUACGGCCCAGUCUGCUACGUGAGACAGAGGUGGCGAAUAUUGCACAAUGGGAGGGAGCCUGAUGCAGAAACGCCGCGGGUGUGAUGACGGCUUUCGGGGUGUAAAACGCUUUCGCCUAAGACGAAGCGUGAGUGACGGUAAUGGGUAAAGAAGCACCGGCUAACUACGUG
rnacentral:rRNA from 1 species